rnacentral:rRNA from 1 species
UGGUGGAGUGAUUUGUCUGCGUUAAUUCCGUUAACGAACGAGACCGCAGCCUGCUAAAUAGUCACAUUUAUGCUUGCAUAGAUGUUUGACUUCUUAGAGGGACACCUGGCGUUUAGCCAGGGGAAGCAUGCGUCAAUAACA